GUAGCGCAUUUACGUUGUGGAUGUCUAUGGGCGCCAGUAACUACUUAACAGCUGGUGGGCUGUUUAAAACAAUCGUGAUUAUUUUCUACU
rnacentral:pre_miRNA from 1 species